GAUGAACGCUGACAGAAUGCUUAACACAUGCAAGUCAACUGUGGCGGACGGGUGAGUAACGCGUAAAGAACUUGCCUCACAGAUAGGGACAACAUUUGGAAACGAAUGCUACUACCUGCUACUGUGAGAGAGCUUUGCGUCCCAUUAGCUAGUUGGAGAGGUAACGGCUCACCAAGGCGAUGAUGGGUAGCCGGCCUGAGAGGGUGAUCGGCCACAAGGGGACUGGGACAGGGCCCUUACUCAUACGGGAGGCAGGAGUGGGGAAUAUUGGACAAUGGACCAAAGUCUGAUCAAGCAAUUCUGUGUGCACGAUGAAGUUUUCGGAAGGUAAAGUGUUUUCAGGUGGGAAGCGGUACCAACAGAAGAAGUGACGGCUAAAUACGUGCCAGCAGCCGCGGUAAUUC
rnacentral:rRNA from 1 species